rnacentral:rRNA from 1 species
CGCAGCCGCGGUAAUUCCAGCUCCAAUAGCGUAUAUUAAAGUUGCUGCAGUUAAAAAGCUCGUAGUUGAAUUUCGGGACCAUCAUGUCGGUCGUGCCUCGGUACGUACUGGCAUUGUUGGUUUCUACCUUCUGACGAACCAUGAUGUCAUUUAUUUGGUGUCGUGGGGAAUCAGGACUGUUACUUUGAAAAAAUUAGAGUGUUUAAAGCAGGCUCACGCUUGAAUACAUUAGCAUGGAAUAAUGAAAUAGGACGUUUGAUUCUAUUUUGUUGGUUUCUUAGGAUCGACGUAAUGAUUAAUAGGGAUAGUUGGGGGCAUUAGUAUUCAAUUGUCAGAGGUGAAAUUCUUGGAUUUAUUGAAGACUAACUACUGCGAAAGCAUUUGCCAAGGAUGUUUUCAUUAAUCAAGAACGAAAGUUAGGGGAUCGAAGACGAUCAGAUACCGUCGUAGUCUUAACCAUAAACUAUGCCGACUAGGGAUCGGAUGAUGUUAAUUUUUUAAUGACUCAUUCGGCGCCUUA